GAUGAAAUAGAUGGAGAAAGAAAGAGAUGGAGGGAGACGGCGUGAAGGACAAGGAGGCUGACCACCAUCGUUAGAGGGAGGCUUGGCGUUGGCAUCAUCACAUUCAGAUGAAAUAGAUGGAGAAAGAAAGAGAUGGAGGGAGACGGCGUGAAGGACAAGGAGGCUGACCACCAUCGUUAGAGGGAGGCUUGGCGUUGGCAUCAUCACCAUCCACACGCUGGUUGUAUUCCGGCGAACCUAGGGUUCUGCUGUGACUUCCGACGGUGGUGGAUAGGGUCAAAUCAACCACCAAAACCGGCGGCGACUAGGGUUUCGUGGUGUAAGGGGUUGCUGAUGAGAUUCAAAUCCCACUCAGGGAGAUUUUUGUUGAGUAUCUUGAGAGGUAUUGGACACCUCUUCUUCAUCACCAAACGCAUGCUAAAAGCACCAAGAAGAUUGUGCUGAGGUUGCAAGCAUGUGUCCCGGCAUCCAAUUAAGAUGCAAACAUUUUGACAUUGGUGGAGACAAAGGCCAAUGGAACUAAACAAAAAAGAUGCAAACAUUUUGGCAUUGGUGCAGAGAUGCAAACUUUUUGACAUUUGUAUACGUCGUAUGUGUUAAUUCGUCGAAUAACUUGAUUGAUUAGGAAAAUGUAUUUUGCGCAACUUAUGUAACUAACAUGCUUGGUGUUAACAUCCUAAGUUGCGACCAUAAUACAUAUACAAAUCUAGGCAUAAACUCUUGGUUUAACGGAAAUAUAAAUCUAGCCCCCGCCGCAUCGCGGCAGGUUACUUUUCUAGUUGAGUUCUAUUUGGUAGGGGUUCAUUUUCCCAGACAACUAUAGCAUUAAAUGAUUAUUUAUUUUUCUGAUCACUUGCUUCAGAACCAAGCAACUGUAUUCAUGAACAGAAAAUAAUCAAAAGCAAUAAAAUGCUCAGAAAAUAAUUAUAAUCAUGAGCAAAAAGUGGUGAAAUUACAAGUUUAACUAGUAUUAAGGGGUCCCGCGUUACGGCGGAGGCAUAGACCGUGCCAAGUAGCAUUAAUGCUACACAACUACAAGCGACCAACA
rnacentral:lncRNA from 1 species